UACGUAGGGGGCAAGCGUUGUCCGGAAUCAUUGGGCGUAAAGAGCGUGUAGGCGGCCCGGUAAGUCCGCUGUGAAAGUCCGGGGCUCAACUCCGGAUCUGCGGUGGGUACGGGCAGACUAGAGUGAUGUAGGGGGAGACUGGAAUUCCUGGUGUAGCGGUGAAAUGCGCAGAUAUCAGGAGGAACACCGGUGGCGAAGGCGGGUCUCUGGGCCGAUACUGACGCUGAGGAGCGAAAGCGUGGGGAGCGAACAGG
rnacentral:rRNA from 1 species